AGGACACUUUCUUGGUGUUGAUUCUGCCUC
rnacentral:piRNA from 1 species